CAUUCCUUAUGAGAAUCUAAUGCCUGAUGAUCUGUCACUGUCUCCCAUCACCCCCAGAUGGGACCAUCUAGUUGCAGGAAAACAAGCUCAGGGCACCCACUGAUUCUACAUUAUGGUGAAUUGUAUAAUUAUUUCAUUAUAGAUUACAAUGUAAUAAUAUUAGAAAUAAAGUGCGCAGUAAAUGUAAUGCACUUAAAUCCUCCUGAAACCAUCCUCUCCCUGAUCCAUGGAAAAAUUAUCUUCCACAAAACCAGUCCCUGGUGCCAAAGAGGCUGGGGACUGCUGAGUCUAUCACUCAGCACUGAGGCAACUAGUGAGGCCAAAUGACCUGCUGGCUAACAAGGGAUGGUCAAAGAAGCAGGAUCAAUGCAGGACUGUCAGAAGGCCUCUCUCCAUGAGAAAGUACAUGGUAUUCCCAUAUGUACACAGUGCUCUUUACUUAAAUUCUACCCUUCCUUUCAGACCCAAUUAGAUGUCCUUUUUUCCCUCAUGGCCUCCUUCCCUUCUCCUCUCACAUUCAUCCUAAUAUUGUGGAUUUGCAUUCUUGCUCCACAGUCACCUGCGAAAUCAGGUGACUGAUUUCACUGUGUCACCUCUAAUAAGGUCCACAUUUCUUGAGCAUAAGCAAGGAGUCCUUUAACCACUGACCUCCUGCCUUGUUCUGUACCUCCUCCUGGUAGAGGCCUCAUCAUGCUACUGUUCAGUUCCAUUUCACAAUUUUGUUAGAAAGGACAAUUCCUUGAAGCAAAUGUGAUAAAUUAGCCUUAUAAGAGUGUUUCACAUCAUUUUUAUUAAACUCUAUUGCACCCCAAUUCAUAAGUAAAAAAAGCAAAAAGGAAUCAACUAUUAUUUUCCAAAGAAAAAUGCAGUUAUUUUUGUUACAAUUUUGAAUAGAUUACCAACUUUUUUCUUUUUAUCACAAAAAUCUAAUUUGAAGGAAUGAUCCUCAUUCCUUUCCAUAAAAAAUCAGGAUUUUAGUUAUAGUCAGGAGCCUAGAAUAAUCCUAAUCUGAACUUUUCUUACAUCCCAUCCUGCAGCUAGAAAUAUGAUUUUCAAAAAAAUACGAAGGCUUCAACGUUCUUUGUGGUGAAGAGACUGGAAGUGACACUAUGGGGCUUGCGAGACAUGACAUCAUAAUAUUAAUUGCUUGAUCGUAUAAAGUGUCCUUAGUGAAGUAUACAAGAUGAGCUAUGUCUGGCUCAAACUAGGGCUGAAAAUCCAUAACUGAGCUUCUCUCUGCUGAAAGCAUUCCCUGGGGAAAGGAAGCUGGCUGCAUCCUUUAGUAAAACAGGGUAGGUCUUGGACCUGCUGAGUGUGGGAGGAACCCAACCAAAUGCAGUCCACGAAUCAAAUUUUCCUGCUUCUCACUCUGUCGCCACUUACUAAUAAAAACUGGUGCCUGGCUGAGUGUCUAAGGGCUAUCCAAACAUGCACACAGCUGGAAAACACUGAAAGGCUUAUUGCUACCCAGCAUUUAAAGAAAUGUCUGUCAAAUCACUAGUUGACCCCUAAGAUAACUGAGCAGAGAUUUUAGUGGCCACACACAGCAAGAAUACGUCUUACAGAGUUAGUUUACAAAAGUCACUGAAGAAACCAAAAACAGUGACAUGAGCAAAAAUAACAAAUCCUGGAGAGAAGUAUCUGAUUUUCAGAAUUUCCAAAUUAUAUUAUUUAAAAUAUUUAAUUUUCAACAAAAAAUUAUGAAGCAUGCAAAGAAAUGAGAAAGUAUUGUUCAUACACAGAAAGAAAGUGAUUAACAUUUCUUCAAAAAUAAAGGCAAAAUUAGGAGACUCAAAAUAAACAAAAACUGAGAGAAUUUAUUGCUAGGAGAACUGACCUACAAGAUAUAUUCAAGUAAAAAUGCAAUUUAUGAUAGCAUCAAAAAAAUUCUUAAGAAUGGUAAAUAAUGAAAUUAAGGCAGAAAUCAAGAAGUUCUUUCAGACGGAUUCACAGCCAAAUUCUACCAGAGGUACAAAGAGGAGUUGGUACCAUUCCUUCUGAAACUAUUCCAAACAACUGAAAAGAAGGGACUCCACCCUAACUCAUUUUAUGAGGCCAGCAUCAUCCUGAUACCAAAAUCUGGCAGAGACACAAGAAAAAAAAGAAAACUUCGGGCCAAUAUCCCUGAUGAACAACAGACCAAUGGAACAAAAUAGUGACCUCAAAAAUUACACCACAUAUCUACAACUAUCUGAUCUUCAACAAAACUGACAAAAACAAGCAAUGGGGAAAGGAUUCCCUAUUUAACGAACAGCACUGCGAAAACUGGCUAGCCAUAUGCAGGAAACUGGAACUGGAUCUCUUCCUUACACCUUAUACAAAAAUUAACUUAGGAUGGAUUAAAGACUUAUAUGUAGGAUUCCAAGCAGGACUUGAUGUCAAGUUGUCUCUGAGUCCAAUGCUCUUCCCCACUGUCCCUGUCCACGGUGUCCCCAGCUAGAAAAGGAAUCUACCAGCUAAGAGGCAUACAGCUGUACUCUGAGUGUGGUGCAGAGACAGCAGGGGAGGUUAAUAGCAACUAAAUGCUAUACUAGGUGCCAUGGGAUAGGAGAGACUUAUUUCAUCACGUGUAUUCAGAACCUUUACUGGGUACUGGGGUUAAAACCAGUACACAUAAAUUUAACUUGAGGCUGAGUAUUUUAUACUAUCCUGGAAAGUCAUUUAGGAAAGAGACCAGAAAGGAGCAAAAAGGGAGUGGCUAUUGUCAAAAACACACAGCUAUUUUUUAGAAGUGCAAAUCCAAACCUCAUGGAUGAUACAGGACAGAAUCUUUAUCAGUAGCAAAAGGCCUAUCAAGUUCUCUAAUUAGUGCUAUCCUUUCCUGCCUCUUCCAUUAUGCUCUGAUAGUCCACCCUCAAAUCCCCAGUGCAAGACAGAGUUUGAGAAGUGGACAUCUGGGUGUAGUGAAAUCAUAAGGGAUCGUGCAGUCCUCCGUGCUAAUAACAGCUGGAGCUAUAAUCACCCCUAGGCGUUAAGGGUCAAGAAGAGGGAGUGGUGUUGGAACCCAGAGACAGAGAGAACUGUGAGAAAAGUGAUGCCUGACAAGAGGGUGACCUUCUGUCAAGGGACGCAGACAGCCCAAGGUGACACACCAGGAGAGAAUAUCACAGGAAUAAAUACUACAACUUCUUAUUGGCGCAAAGAGAGGCACAUAGAUUAGCAGAACAGAAUGUCAAGUCCCAAAACAGACUCCACGUUUAUGGUCUGUUGAUUUUCAACAAAGAUGGAAAGGCAAUUAGGCAUAGAAAAGAUGUCUUUCUAUGAAUUUGUUUUGGAAUAGAUGGAGUUCUGCUAAUCAAAAGGACCUCAUAAUUACUGUACAGCUUAGCCUUUUAAUCUGCAUGGACCUCAGCUUCCACUGUCUUUGUAAUGAAGAGAACUAACCACAUUUAGGAUCUAUCGAGGACUUGAGGGCAUUUCUCUAGAACCACGCCCCAGCACUCCAGUGUCCUGCAAGUCAGUGAUGCCGCUGUGCUUGAUCCUGCACAUGGCUCCACUGCCCUGUGGAUUCAUGCUCUGAGCUGCUCCUCUGGUCAAGGAUUUAGAGCUGAACAGAUUUGUCCACACCUUAUUCCCCCAUCCCCACAGAGACCAUAACUGUGUGCCGUGUGCAUUGUAAGACAUCUGGUCAGUACUUAGAGCAUGGACUGUGGCCACAGAACAGGGCAAAGCUGAAUGGCCACACACAGGGUCUGAGGCCCUGACCAUGUCUCCUUAGCUUAAAGAGGGGGCAGCCAAAUUAACCACAGCCUGAUGUAUGCUAAUGGUAACCUUGUGCUUCAGAGCAGAAGGCAGAGCCAUGGGGGUGACACAAACUCCAACAAGCACCAGGGUCAAGUAGAAGCUAACUGACCCAGGAGAGAAAAUAAUUCUGUCAAGUUAAGUAAUUUGCUGGUGUUCUCUGCUAACUCACAUCUGCGUCCUGGGUCUCCUUAGCUCUUCCUUGAAAAAGCAAUGAAUGUUUUCUAA
rnacentral:lncRNA from 1 species